GAAAAGUUAGUUAAAUCAUAACUUUAGUAUGUCAUGCUAAAAUCAUUAGUCAUUAAUCUAAUACUUUUUA
rnacentral:tRNA from 1 species